rnacentral:tRNA from 1 species
CCUUCGAUAGCUCAGUUGGUAGAGCGGAGGACUGUAGUGGAAAUAGCAGGCAUCCUUAGGUCGCUGGUUCAAAUCCGGCUCGAAGGA